rnacentral:rRNA from 1 species
UNUGACUUGAGUGCAGAAGGGGAGAGUGGAAUUCCAUGUGUAGCGGUGAAAUGCGUAGAUAUAUGGAGGAACACCAGUGNCAAAAGCGGCUCUCUGGUCUGUCACUGACGCUGAGGCUCGAAAGCGUGGGUAGCGAACAGGAUUAGAUACCCUGGUAGUCCACGCCGUAAACGAUGAGUGCUAGGUGUUAGGCCCUUUCCGGGGCUUAGUGCCGGAGCUAACGCAAUAAGCACUCCGCCUGGGGAGUACGACCGCAAGGUUGAAACUCAAAGGAAUUGACGGGGGCCCGCACAAGCGGUGGAGCAUGUGGUUUAAUUCGAAGCAACGCGAAGAACCUUACCAGGUCUUGACAUCCCGAUGCUAUUCUUAGAGAUAGGAAGUUACUUCGGUACAUCGGAGACAGGUGGUGCAUGGUUGUCGUCAGCUCGUGUCGUGAGAUGUUGGGUUAAGUCCCGCAACGAGCGCAACCCUUAUUGUUAGUUGCCAUCAUUAAGUUGGGCACUCUAGCGAGACUGCCGGUAAUAAACCGGAGGAAGGUGGGGAUGACGUCAAAUCAUCAUGCCCCUUAUGACCUGGGCUACACACGUGCUACAAUGGUCGGUACAACGAGUUGCGAGCCGGUGACGGCAAGCUAAUCUCUGAAAGCCGAUCUCAGUUCGGAUUGGAGGCUGCAACUCGCCUCCAUGAAGUCGGAAUCGCUAGUAAUCGCGGAUCAGCACGCCGCGGUGAAUACGUUCCCGGGCCUUGUACACACCG